rnacentral:rRNA from 1 species
CCUACGGGAGGCUGCAGUGAGGAAUAUUGGUCAAUGGGCGCAAGCCUGAACCAGCCAAGUCGCGUGAGGGAAGACGGCCCUACGGGUUGUAAACCUCUUUUGCCGGGGAGCAAGCCUGAGCACGUGUGCCCAGGCGGAGAGUACCUGAAUAAAAAGCAUCGGCUAACUCCGUGCCAGCAGCCGCGGUAAUACGGAGGAUGCGAGCGUUAUCCGGAUUUAUGGGGUGUAAAGGGUGCGCAGGCGGAAGCGUCAAGUCAGCGGUAAAAUGGCGGGGCUCAACCUCGCCGAGCCGUUGAAACUGCUCUUCUAGAGUGGGCGAGAAGUAUGCGGAAUGCGGGGUGUAGCGGUGAAAUGCAUAGAUAUCACGCAGAACUCCGAUUGCGAAGGCAGCAUACCGGCGCCCAACUGACGCUGAUGCACGAAAGCGUGGGUAUCGAACAGGAUUAGAUACCCUGGUAGUC